ACCUGGGUGGCUCAGUCGGCUGAGCACCUGACUUCGGCUCAGGUCAUGAUCUCGUAGUUUGGGGGUUCAAGCCCCGCAUCAGGCU
rnacentral:tRNA from 1 species